rnacentral:misc_RNA from 1 species
GUGAAUCAUCGAAUCUUUGAACGCACAUUGCACUCUCUGGUAUUCCGGAGAGUAUGCCUGUUUGAGGGUCAGUUUAAAUAAAAAUCGGUGUGGCUGCUGCCUUUCGCGGUGACGCACCGGAUGUGGGUCGUCUUGCCUUCGGUUAUGGGAUCUAAAAUUUUGCAUGAUUUUUUCGAACGUAUUUAAUUUCUUUUACGUACGUUUGCGAUAUCGAAUACUAGGUACUGCCCUCUUCAUGAUCAGCGCCUAUCAUUUCUUAU